GGACACACAGGGGGACCAGGGCCACGGUGGCCUUUGUCUGCCUGUGCCAAACAGAUGUGAACAAACCCGAGUUCGAUUUCCGAGACCGCCUGGGGAAUAUCACUAACUAAUUAUAGAAAACAGAAGAUGCGCUCCCCUCCUCUUGCAUUUUUUGAUAAACAUUGUCUCCUCUCAACAGCUGAGUAUUUAAUUAGUGUUGAUUGUUGUCUGCGUGUUCAAUAACCACUCAUCAGGAGGGGGGUGUCCGCUGGGGCAGCGUGGCCCGGAGCACAGCGGAGCCGAGGGUGUUCAUAAUUAAGGAUGCAAUUUAUUUGAGUAAGUCAUGUGUACAGCACCCUGUGUUUUAGGUUAAUUUUCAAGGUUAAAGGGUAAAAAAAAAAAAAAAAAAAAAAGAGGGUAGCUCACAACUUCGGAGGGCGAGGAGCGACGGUUGGAAAAUCAACACUGAAAACUGGGCAGGGAGGAAGAUAUAUAUAUAUAUAAAAUAUAUAUAUAAAAAUAUAUAUGUAUUCAUACAUACAUGCAUGAUACAUCCAAGCCUCUGUGUGUGUGUGUACAUGUGGCUGUGUGAAUGCUCCCACAGGGCUGUACAUCCUCUUUCCCUGCAGACUGUGCCUGUUUCCCAAGUUUUCUCUGGAAAAGGCUGCCGUGUGGAGUAGGACUCUCCAGCUGUGGAAAGGUUCCCUAGGAAGCAUGUUGGAUGAAAAAGAAAAAUCAGCUUUUGCUCGGUGCUGCUGGGUGUGGGAAGGGCUGAGGUUCACCAGCAGUUCUGUUUUAUCAAAUCCUGCCUCGUGUUUGCCUGUAUUUACCUAAGGAAUACCGAUGAGCACCAGCAUCCCUGUGUGCAUCCCGUGCCACGGGGGACAGGGAUUUGGCUUUGCUUUCCAAGCACCACAGGGAUCACUCCCAUUUUAGGGGAGGAGAACUAAACCCUGUGGUUUUAAAGGCUGUCUGGAGAUAUGGGGUAAGUGGAGAAUUGGGGUAAGUGGUCUCUCUUCCCUUUUCCCAGUGACCACACAUCCAUGUCAGGCUCGUGCCGAUGUCCAGAGCAGGGUGGUGAAGGUUUAGGGACAUCACUGUCAUUGUGUGUGACCCUCUGAACUGGGCAGGACUCAUCCAGGUCCUCCACAGCACUGGGAGGGCCUUAGCCCAUGGGGAGGGGGACAGGCCUUGGGGACAGUCCUGUGCCCUGCACAGCCCCUUCCCUGCUGGCAGGGCGGUUUGUGCGCUGGCAGGGGGAGCAGCAGCUAAACUAGUAAAUAAGCAAAUGCCCGUCUCCUCCCUGCGUGGCUUCCCCUGUAUUUAUUCCCAUGUUUCUCCUGCUGUCCCCCUGACAGCCGGGAUGGAGCUGUCAUGCCUUGGUGGCCACCGGAGCCAGCGCCCGAUCCCGCGCUCACGGAGGGGCCGCACACGGAACCCCCUGCCAGCAAAACGGGGAGGAAAAGCAAAUCCAAUUACGUGCCAUUGAUUUCUUUCCAAAUUUGCCUCUAAUACACUUUUUGACUACUCCUUGAUUUUUUUUUUAAUUUUUUUUCCUGUUUUCCCUUUCUCCUCUCCCUCCCCUGCCCACUCCCACAGCAGCAGCCUCCUCCCGGGAAGCGAGUGGCUGCAGCCCCUGCACUGGACACGCCGAGCCCUGGAGCAGUUCAGGAGAUCAUAGCCCGGGUUUUUUUGCUCUUAAUAGGUGGUAGGGACGAUCUGUGAGCUGAGCCUCUUCCUAAGGGACAGUGAAGCCGUGGAACAGGGUGAUGGUGAAGUGGGCUCUGUGUGCUCAUCAGGGGAAGGAGGAUGGACUCUCACUCCAAGGAAGUCAAUUAGAAGUUAUCCUGGAAAUCAGCCUCUCCUUCAGUCGCCUUUGUUCCAAAUCCAGCCAAACCAAAAGGCUGCCUUGUUCCAGUGCCACCGAGGCAAUUUCUUUUGCUGUAAGGACCUGGCAGUGGCAAUGACAGUGAAAGCAAUAAAACCCUCCCGUGGCAGAUGUCUGUAUUCGGGUGCCACGUCCUGGAUGCUGUGCUGGAGAGGAGAGCUGCUGCUCCUCCAGGGAUGGAGAAAAACUUCCCAACACAAAGAGCCUUUCAGAGAAGGAGCUGGCUGAGGAGGGUGCUGGACUCCCACACCAAAAGUUUCAAGGCCAUGAAGGCUUGGAGGAUCAUGGACAACGUAAAGCCAAGGUUCAGUAUCAUCCUCCUCCUCCUCACUGUGCUGGGGGGUCAGAGCAAGAGGUGUUGGCUGAAUCUCAGCACGGACAAGAGCACGUUGCAUCCCCACCUCCCAGCCCAGGAGUUGGUGUUUGCAUCAGCCAGCUCUGCACAGCAUUUCAGUGAGCUGAUCAAACUUAAAGGGAAGUACUGUGGGUGAAAAAAUUAGGGGAGAAAACAGCAAAUGCUGCCAUGUGGCCCAUUUUGGGGGGAUAUUUUGCUUUGUGGCUUCAGAUCAUCCUCCACUGGUGCCUCCAUCCCUUGUGCCCACAUCUCAGGCUGGAGGAAUGGCUCCAGCACCACCAUCCCACUGUGCCCUGCCCGGCCCUAAUUGGCCUGUUUGUUUGGCAAUAAGUGAUUCCUGCCUGUCUCGGGGUGGAUUGUUUUUCACACCAUUAAAUGAAGUUCUGCCGUAUUGAUCCCUGUUUUUCCAAUUUGAAGCCUGAAAAGUGAUGAAGACAUUUUCUUGUUUUCUCAUGUACUUUUCCCCUCAGUUCAUUUAGGUGACCUGUCUUUAGUUCCUUGCUCUGCUCGCUGUAAUUGCUUCUUCAGAGUAAUGUUGCACCGUGAGCUCGGUGCCGCAGCCGGGGCGGGUUUUUAUGGAAGGAUGAAGGAAGGCGAGGCUGGAGUCAUCAAGCAAUGCUAACUGUGCAAGGAAGGGAGUAAAGCAAGUGCUGUGAAGAGGUGGGAUUGGCAAGUCCCAUGAAGGCUGGGAGAACGUGUCCCAACUCUGAGAGGCUUCCCAAGGGAGCCCAGCCCUCCCUCCCUCCCUGCUGUGAUGUUGCUUAUUAAAGCAGCAGGGGGGUCUGAGAACAUCCAGAGCAAAGCACGACUCAGCCUGAAUUUUUGGCAAGCAAAGCUAAACUCUGCCACAUCGUGAAAACCGUGUGAAAGCUGCCAGUAAGGAAAUUAAAUAAGAAAUAGUGUCAGAUAAUGGUUGCAAAUGUGCUAUGAUCACUCUUUUCAUUAGAAACUUCCUUGUUUCCUCCCUGGUGUGCACCACAAACAGCUUGCACAUGAUUUAUUUCUGUGUAUUUGGGAAGGAGAGGCAAAGGGAAUAAAGUCUUUGCCAUUAGAUGUUUUAAAAGGCUUUUGGGAGAUUUAGAGGCACGGUGCUUAUUAAAAUAAAUGGAAGCCGUGUGUCUAAAUCCCCUGGUCAUCCUUGAAAGUCUUGUCCCUAAUGUUUAUCUUGCAGCCAUUUCCAAAUGGGGCACUGCACAUCCCAUUUCCAGUGUGUAUCUAAGUGCAACUGGACAGCAAACCCAGGCUCACACGGGGGCCAAGCCCAGCUCUGUGCCAUGUCCUGCCUAAUGUUGUGAGUAAGGAGAGGGUGUGAUGGUACAAAGCUUUGAAACGGUGCAAAGCAUUUUCUGGGAAACUCUGGACAGAAAAAAAGCCCAAGUCCCACGGAAGCAGAGGGAAUGUGGCUCCCCUGUCCCACUCCCAGAGGUUUCUGCUGUGUGCAGCUCUUGGUAUGGGACACACUAACCCUGCAGUGUCCAGUCCUGCAGAGCUGAUUUGCUGAGCUUUUUAAUAGAUGCAUAACUUUCCAUCCUGUUGUAAAUCUCCCAAAAAAAAUUUUAUUUAUUUUUUUUUUUUUUAAUUUUUAAAGGAAACUAUUGGCAUUGGCCACUUUGGAAAUGCUGACCCAUUGAGUCUAAACAGGGAAGUUUAGGGCAUGUUAAAUAUCAAUUGAUUAUAAACCCCAUAUUAAUUGACGUUUAGCAGCCCCACUAAUGGAGAGGAGCUCAUUACAUAGCAGUUAACCCUCCACACAUAUAUAUUAAAUAAUCAAUUAGUAUUUAUUUAACAUACAAUAACCUCCCUAUUAGAGCUAAAUUAAAAGCCUCUUUAUGGAGGCCUUGCAGAAAGCCCUGCACUGUGCUAACCUGGAGCCAGGAAUUUGCAUUAAGAGCCUGAAUCUUUGUUACCUCUGGAGACCCCAAGAUGAUUUUAACAUGUCAAGCAAAAGAAUAGAGGGGUUGGGUUUGUUGCAGUCACUUGGCCCUGCUAUGAGACACACUCAGUGUGGGGAGGGAGCUCUGGGAAGGGGGGUCAGUGCCAAAAAAGUUGGUGAGUUGCUGCCUAUGUGGUCCUGACCAGAUGCUGAGACCUGGCAGGUGAUGGGUGAGAGGGAAACAGAGAGAUUUGCCCACAAGUAAAAGACCUUUGAAGUAAAAGAAAACUAUUUUCAAGUGUAAAAAGAAAGGAGAAUGAGGAGAGGGACGGGCAGAGAGUAAGAAAAUACAAAAGCAAAGAAGUGGCACGGUUGGGUAAUAGAAAUAGGGCAAAGUGGGGAACUCAGAAAAGGAAUAGCUGAACUAAAUUGCUCAAAAUGAGCCUCUCCUGUGCUAUGUUCUGAGCUGCCAUUUAUAUCUGUGUGGUGUAUUGAAUAUUAGCAGGUGGAUUUACUCCCAUCUCCCUGUGGCCUAAGGUGUGACAAGGAGGGGUAUAGCAGGGAGCUGUGCUGUUUUCCUUGGAGCCCAGCUUCUGGAAGCGUUCCCAGCCGCUGGCCUAUUCAUCAGGAUGGUUACAUUUCUGCUGCUGAAAAGAAGGAAGUACCUUUUUCUCUUGCUCUUCAUUAGCAUGUGGGCACAGUGUGAGGGACUGGCUGGGGAGGGAACCCCGUUGUGAGCGGCACUGGGUAAACACAGCUGAGGUGACAGUGACAGUCCUCAUCACAGAGUGUCAGCAAUUCAAACAGCCACGCCACUCACGGGCUCUGAGAGAGGGGGAGAAGGAAGAGCAAAAAGGAGAAUGUGACGGGUUGCAAACAGGGAUUUGCGUGAUUUUUGUCGUAGGUGUGUUCAUUCUGCAAGUAUCUGGGAGGAAAUGCGAAUUAAUUUUAUGCUGGCCAGGUCCAUGUGUUGGAAUUUUAUGUUAGAUACGUAGAAAUUUCUUCCUCUUGUAGAAAGAGAGAACCAAAGGGCUUUUGGAAAAUUUCAGGAAAUUAUCCAAGGCCAGGCUUUGCCCAAAGGGGAUAUAUUAUUGAGCCCUAGGGAAAGGCAGUCUUGCUAAUCUAUUAAUAAUAAUAAUAAUAAGAAAGUAGGAAAACAGAAACAGCGGAGCAAAAACAAACCAAAAAGCUCCACUGAACAAGACGUGAUUAUUUCCAUGGAAAAAUUUCCUGGUGGUUGGAAUGCACUGGUGUUUCCUAAAAUAGCCAAUUUGAUCCCUCUACACUGCAAUGGUAACAUCAAACCCAAGAAAUUUGGGAAAUUAGGCUAAAGAUUUUCCUAUUACCCUGAAAUUUUGCCUUGGAGAAAUGACAACACAGACAGAAUUUCCUUGGGAAAGAACUGAGUAAAGGAUGUUGUGAAAUUAUUUUAGUUAAACUGACUGCAAUGCUAAAAAUGAAUCCUGGUGUAGGACAGCAAAGGAACUCGCACUGGAAUAUUAAUUCUGCUUCCAAUCAUCCAAGGAGUUCAGUCACUGAAGUCAGGGGAGAAUUCAGUCUGCCUGCUUUCCACGGGCUUUGGGGAGGCCUUGCCAACGCUGUUCCUUCCUGCUGGAUUCGCCUGCGACUCCUCAACGUUAUUAGUGGAAAUAAUUUCCUCUGUGGAGAAGUGGCUGCCUGUGUCCUGCUGGAGUGUCUCUGCAGUGGAUCCCUCCAUCACAUCUCCCCUCAAUCCCACGCUGUGCCAGCCUUCAGACCGUUCCUCUUCCAACCGUCUCCGAUGCUCAUUUCUUCCAUCGUGGGCUCCUUUCUCCCCACACAGCUUUGAAAAGUGAAUCCACAGCGAGGUCCCUACAGAACUGUAACCCUUUAUAGGGUGUCUCUUUGAGAAUGCCUGAUUUCUGCACAUGGCUGGCUGGAAUUUACCCUGCCUGUUGAACCUCAAUGCAUCUAAUCAAGUUCUGGGUACAGGGUUCCUCAGGAUAAUUAAGAAAAAGCAAAGAAGAAAUGAUCUGGAAAUUAUUAUAUACCUUCUUCUUGAAGUACCUUCUGUGGAAAUAAGAUUUUUUUUUUUUUCUUGAACCAAGCCUUAAAAUCUACAAGAUUCUUCCACAGGCAAUUUUCCAAGUUUUCUUUUUCCCAUCAUAUUUCCACACUCUCUUGUGUUCUCUCCUUUGGCCAAAGCACAUACCACAACAUUUGCAUGUGCUGUUGUAGCACACAGCUCUUCUGAUCCCACAUCAGGUGUCAAAUCUUUAAUAUGAUUUCCUACAUGUUUGACUAAUCAAUGCAGAACAUCAUCAUGAAAGAUAAUUUUACCCUCUGGCACUUCAGGGACAGGAUAAUGAGGCCUGGUGUUUUCCAUUUUUUAUUCUUCCACGAGAAUCUACAUUUUUUAGUCCCAGCUAAUUGAUUUAAGUUCAUGGAGGAAGGGUUUUUUUCCCCUUUCCCUUCCAGUAUCUUGGAUAUUAAUGGAUUCUGGUGAGCUAACGGAGCUGUGUGAUCAGUGUGUUUAGAGAUUCAAUACACUGCCGUUCUGACCUUUCAGAAGCCAAGGGAAAAACAUCAGGCCCAGCAUGUUGAUCCCACGUGAACACUGAAAUCUCAGGCAGGUUGGAGCUGCUCGAGCUGCCUGGACAGAGGGACUUUCUCCAGGAAGGGAGGGUUGGGAAUGGGACAAAGCCCAUUCCAGCAGUAGCUGGAUUCCAUCCCUCUGAGAAAAAAUACAUGUUAGUCCAAAUAUCCUUCCCUGAGACAAUGAGAAUUAGCAAGUAAGAAGCUGUUUCUCUUACUGAGGCAACGCUGGUAGCAUGAUAUAACUGAUCAAACAUUUCCCAGUCAGUGAUACUGUCCCUGUCGGCCACAGAUCCACUGGAUUCACUGGUUGAGACCUAAAAGGAGCAUAUUCCUGCUGCAGCAUGUACCUGAGGCUCUAAAAACUGUGAGCCAGAUGUGUUUUUAUGAAUAAUCCCUGUAUUUUUUCUGUAUUUUACCACCAUUAACUAGAGUUAUUCUUGUAU